rnacentral:tRNA from 1 species
AACUAAUUAUUUUUAAAAAAGUAGUGUUGAAAACACUUACCUUUUGUAUCAUGGUUUAGCUA